AACAGCAAGUGACAAGACUGAGGCAGGCAGAGUGGCCGAGCGGGGUAGAGGGGCUGGAGACAGCAGUCAUGUGGAUGUUUUGGCACAGGGUCUGAAGGAGCCUGAUUGUUGAAGCAAAACUUCCCGUUUACCUACUGAUUGGAGGGUUUUUGAGCAUCUGGAAGCCAGAACAAAAAUGCUUCUUUCCAUCCUAGACCAUCCAUCCUCCCGCUGACCUUCCAGAUGACUGCAGGUGCAUGAGCACGCCCAGCAGGGAUCAGCUGAGCAAAAUCACCUCGCCGAAUCAUAGGAGGGAAAGCUGCUGAGAAAACAUGGAAACACAGAAAGAGGAAAGUAAAAAGUACCCAGGGAGCCUCUGAGUUUGUGUGUGCACGUGGGUGAGGUCGCCAAAGGGGAGCAAACCUCCUACUUCCUGCAGCUCAGAUUACUUAUCAA
rnacentral:lncRNA from 1 species